rnacentral:lncRNA from 1 species
AUCUUUGACAGGCUAAGAUCGGAAAGCUUAGGAUUCCAUUCGUCAUCCAAUAGAAUGUUUCGGCUCCUGAUGUUACGAUGGAUUAUCGAAUGCUUUGCUCCUGAAUGAAGGUAAUGCAACCCACGGGCUGCACCACUGCAUAUCGUUAGCCUCCGCUUCCAGGAGAGUGGAUCAUUAGAACGAUUUCCAUAAAGAUGUUUAUCAAGUGAACCAUUGCUUAUAUAUUCAUAAACCAGAAGCUUUUCAUCUUCUUCGUCGCAGAAUCCGAUGAAAGAGACAAGAUUCGGGUGUCGUAGCUGACACAGUAACUGCACCUCGGUUCGGAAUUCACGACCUCCUCGCAGUCCAAAUGGCCCAAAGCGCUCAAUAGUAACUGCCAUAGUCCCAUCAUCAAUGAUUCCUUUGUAUAGAUCUCCAAAACCACCACGACCAAGGAGAAAGUCUUCACGGAAGCUGUUGAUAGCAGCUUUAAUCUCUCAAGUAAGAAUUGUCGGCAUAGUCCCUCUGGGAAUGCUGAACAUUGCUUCCCUGGAGACCUUCCAUUUCCCCUGCUUUUAUCCGACUUUUGUUAGGCGAUUUAUUAAUAAUGUGGAAGAAAAGUAGAAGGGAUUUUAAAGGGUUUUUCAUUGCAAGAAAUGAAGGAAGCAAGUUUGGAUUUGAUUGAAUGUUACAGUUUCUUCUGAUUAGCUUACAUUGUUCGUUUCAAAUGUGAAUUACAUUUUGGGAUUGAGCAUUACUUUGCAACUUUCUGGAAGUGCCAUAUUGGGUCGAAGGAUUGAACUUCCUUGAUAAAUUUCUGCAGUGUGAAAAGAACUUAAUUUUCAGUAUGAGUUGAAAUUUCAAAGUAAACGACAAUUUAAUUCAGAACGCGGAAAUGUGUUUGACCUUUAUGGCUUCUGGUUUCAUUAAGCCUCGAAUGAUGACUUGAACCUUAGUUUGAGGCGGUGGCAAAAUGCGUAAGCAUAAACUUAAACAUAACAAGAGCACAGAGUUUAUUUAUACUGUUACUCCUCAGAAAUUACAUUCUAUAAACCCUUUUUUUAUUAUUAUCAAGUUACCAUCUCUUGUGUCAAUAAAAACUUUAUGAAGUUGAUUGAAACAUGUUUAUUUAAUACUUGUUUGUAAGCAAGGAGCUCUCAUUCAAGUAAACAUUUCCCCAUGGUGGGCUCAAUGUUUCAUUAAACUUUCUUUCCAGGAAAGAGGAAAAUCCUGUUACUUUGCAGGUAAUAACAGUGACAUUAUCCACUCCCAGGUGUUACCUGUGUAAUUUUCUUUCCGAGAACAUAAUACAAACCGAGAAAGUCUGCAUUUUGGAGCCAAAAGUUCUUUUAGUUUGGAUUCUUCAAUUAAUGAACAAUUUAUCGUCAUAAACCAAUAGUUAGUACAAUCAAUGAUUUUAGUAUAAACACAAUAUGAUCUAAACCUGAUCAAUAAAUAUAAGCUCGGAUAAAUAAAUCACUGUCCUCAUCCGGUCAUCCCUCUAUUGUUAAUCCAUCCAUGAUAAGCCAUGCAACAAUGAAAGAACGCUUGGGAAUUGAAUUAGCAGACUAUCUAAACAGAAAUAGCUAUCCUGACAAAGCAUUUAACUAUUAUUAUUGUGGUUAUUUGUUGGGGUUUUGACAGCAGCAAAAGAAGAGAACAAGACAGAGAACAAAGGAGCAAGAAGCUUGAUAUAAUUUACUUGCUCACAAACGUGCAGCAAGGAAGCAAUCUGCUGAUAUGCUUACUCAGUCAAUAUGAAAACAAUGCAUUUAUAGUCAAAAUACAUCACCAAAUAUUCAACUAACCCCAUUAAUCAGUAUUGGGACUAUUAAAACAUUGCUUGUACACAAGAACUAAGUUAAUUUUCAACAUUAUUGCUAUCUGAAUCUGAUAAGUCACUAUCAAAUUCAGAAUAAUUAUGGCUAUCAAGACCCGCAAAAUUCCUAAUAAAGGCAGAAAACAGUGCUUCUUCAUACAUAAACUCACCAGAAAGAUAGAUUCUCCCCAUUUCGGAAUCUGCUCUCUCUUGCAGCUCCAAGGCAAGUUCUAGUGUGACCUCCACCUCACCCAUUGCUGGCCUUCCAUUUCCCAUAAAGUGGACACAACUAGAAGCGAUUUCCAAAUACUUGUUCAAACAUUCUGGAGCUAUCCUUCCCUUGAGGUACGGAUCAAUGGCAUGAUAAAUGGUUCCUUGGCUUAGGGAUUCCAUUGCCCAAUCAAACAGAUAUUGUUUCUUCUUAGGCAGUGUGCUAUCAUAUUGUCGUCUGCCAAAAAGAACUUCGAACAAAACGAUCCCAAAUGAGUAGACGUCAGAUUUUUCAGUCAGUUCCCCAAGCAUGGCGUAUUCUGGAGCCAUUUAUGCAAUAGGUCCCAUCCGCCUUGUAUCCAUUCUUAUCAAGGCUUUUGACAUGCUAGGAGGACCCAGUUUGGACAAGCCAAAAUCUGCAAGUUUGCAACACCAUUCUUCAUCCAAAAGCAUGUUUGAGCUCUUGAUGUCACGGUGGAUUACAGCACGCUUGGCACCGGUGUGCAGGUAAUGUAAUCCACGUGCUACAUCGAUACAUAUGUUUAACCUAUGUUUCCAAGACAAUGGAACGUAAUCCUUCCCAAUCCCAAAGAGAAAAUCAGCGAGUGACCCUCUGCUCAUGUAUUCAAACACAAAGACCAUCUCCGAUCCCUCAACGCAGAAGCCGAUGAGGGAGACGAGAUGUGGGUGGCGCAACUGGCAAAGAAACUGUCCCUCAUUUUUUAACUCUUCUCCUCGGUAUGACACUCUCGAGCGCUUGACAGCAACUAUGGUUCCAUCAUGUAGAGUCCCUUUGUAAAUAGUCCAAAGACCACCUUCACCAAUAAUUGAGAGUGGGUGGAAGUUGUUAGUGGCGGCUUUGAUCUGUGCUAGUGAAAAACGACAGCAAAAGCCCUCCGGUAGUUCUAAUCGAGGGGAUUUCUUCUUUAAACCUAAGAAGCUUAGAAGAGAACCCAAAGGAUUCUUCAUAGGGGCACAAUUAAGCAGUUGAAUAAAGAAACAGUAGUACUACUUUACGAGAAACAAAAAGUGAAGUAAGUUAGAACUUUCUUGAGAGAAGAUAUCCAACAUUUAUUUAGUCAUUUAAUCGAAGUGGUUGAGAGGAAAAUACGUAGGAAAGAUUGUAUGCAUUUUAUGGAAGCUUCUUUGAUAAUAAUAGGGCUGAUUUUUAAGUAUCAGUUGAAACUUCAAAGUCUCGUCCAAAAUCUAGCUUACAACGUGGAAAUGUAAGGACCAAUACUCCGGGUGUUACCUCUCUAAUUUUCUUCCCCCCCAAAAAAAUGCCAUUUAAAAAGUUUAAUACAUAAUUUGUUAGUUGAGUUUAACAUUUUUUAUCUAAUGCAUUUAGAUUUAUAUUUGAUAGAAAUUUUAUAAUUUAGUAUUUGAAGGUAACAAUAUUAAUUUUUAAUAUUUAAUUUGGGUUUUAAAGUUGAUAUGACAAAAUUCUUAACUUUCAUAAGGUCAAACUUUAAAACCCGAAUUAAAUUACGUACAUCAAAUUUUAUUUGAUAAAUUAAACAUAAUUAAAUAAAUUUACAAUUAGCACUAAAUUUAUUCUAUUAAAAAAUUAAAAAAAAUUAAUUUCAUCAAAUUAAUUCUAAAACUCAAAUUACACACUAAAAAGUUAACAUUGUUACUUUUAGAUGCAAAAAUUUAAAUUUUUUGUCAAAUACUAGUACCAAACAAGACCAAAAAAAUGACAAGUGUUACGUUAGAAAAAAAUGUCAAACUCAAGUACCAAAUAAUAUAUCAAUCAUUUUAAAUAUUUAAAAAAAUGGGUGCCAAAAGUUUAUAUCAAUCACGAUAGCAAAUUUUGGAUAAAUCUAUCAUGAAGGCCCCUAUACUAGAAGUCUUAAUUGCAUUUUGUCUCUUCUACUAAAAAAAUCGAUAAAUUAAUCUUUAUACUUUACAACAAAGAGUAAAUUGGUCGUUUCAUUAAAAAUUCAACUCAUUUCUUUUGUUAAGUUAUUACAUGGUUGACAGAGCAACUAGACAACAUGUGACAUGUCAUGUUCAGGUCAACAAAUAUUUUAAAAAAUCAUAAAAUAAAUAAAUUUUGUAAUAAUUAUUUAAAAAUUAUGCCCAUGUAAUUUUUUAAAUAAUUAUUAAUAGCUAUAAUUAUUUAAAAUUAAAAUAAACAUUUGAAUUGAAAAUUAAUUAUUUUCAUCAAGUUACAAUUUAUUUAAAUAUUUAAUAAAUAUUAUAAUAAUUAUAUUUUAUAAAAUAUAAAAUAAUUAUCAAUCUUACAUUCUUAUAAUCUUAUUACGAAUCGUACUCUAAGAUCCAACCAACAAAAUGCACCUUUUGUCUAAUGCUACCAGCUUAUUAAUAUUAAAUGAACUUUACCUCUCUUCUCAACAACAAAAAAAAAUUCUUUCAAGAUUACUCAGUAUACACGCUUUUUCCUCCACCUAUUUUUCAAGUUUUUAAAAUUUGUAUUUAUUUUAAUAUUUAGACCAAUCAAACAGGUAAUUAGACCGAUUGAGUUAAAAACAGAAAACACUUAAAAGAAAACAAGUGUUUGAUAAUAAAAAUUGAUCCGAACAUUUGCUUUUUUUCGAUAAAUUAGAGAACUAAAAACAAAAUCAAAAUUUUAAAGUGUCACACAAGGACAAAAAAAAAUUUUGGGAGCCAUAAUUAAUAUUUAUAUUUUUAUGAUAGUAAAAAUAUAAUUUUACCAUUUUAAUAGCCUAUAUUUUUUUUAAUUUUUAAAUUAUUAAAUCAAAAUUUUAUCAUUUUUAAGGCUAAAGUGUAAUUUUAUCAUUAUCAAUUUAAAAUUUUAUAAAUUUAGACAUUAGAUAAAAAAAAUUCACUUAACGAGGUUGAGGUGCCUGUCAAACCCCCUGACUUCUCCAAUGGUGUUACAUUAAUAUUAUGUAACCUAAUUAAUAAUAAAUUAUUAAAAAUUAAUUUCAAUCAAAUCAAUGAUAAAAUUGUAACUUUUAAUAAUUAAAUGAUCGAAACAAAAAAAACACAGCAAUAAUUAAGUUAAAAGUAAAAUUUAAUAUAAAAUUUUGCAUAUUUGAUAGGGUUGAGAAAAAAAUCAAAAAUUGAUCCCAAUGUUUGGACAACUUUUUUACUCACGAAUUAAAAAAAAAGUGCGACUACUUAGAACUAAAUCUAAUUUUAUUUUUAAUUUAAUUUAAUAUUAAUUUUUAUGAAAUUAAAAUAUUUAAAAUGAUAAAAAUAAUUUUAAAAUAUUAUAUAAAUAAUUAUUUUUCAAAAAAUAAUAUAUAAGAUAUUAAUAUUUUAUUUUAUUUUUAGAAAUAUUUACGAAAAACACUUCAAAAUUCUAUCAAAUAAUGUCUAAAUAUUAUAAAACAAAGUUUCUUUUUUCUAGAUAAAGUUUUUUAAAAAAAAAAACCCAAAAUCUAAAAUUAAUAUGAAAAAAUGUAUUAAGUGUUGGAAAGGCUAUUCAGGGUCACCUUCUACACUUGAUUACACUGUUUAAAUUGCAGGUCGCAUCAUGUUUAUCUUAGUUGCAGUUAGAUGAAUGCUAACUCGAUCAAUUGUGAUAAAUAUCAAUGAUGAGCACCAACAACGGAGAGAGCCAAAAACGCAAAAUAAUAAUAAUAAUACGAGUUGCCGAGACUAUUCACCGGAACUGUAUUCAGGAACCAAGGCACAACAUGAUACUUCUUCAAACGUAUAUAUACCACAAGAAGCUAGACGCACCAUAUCGGAAUCUGCUUUCUGUUGCAGUUCCAAAGCACGCUCUAGCAUCACCUCCACUUCACCCAUUUCAAGCCGUGAAUUUCCCUCUGGACAAGUACAGGAACAUGCGAUGUCCACAAAGGUCUUGAAGCACUCUGCUGCUAUCCUGCCCUUCAAAUUUGGAUCAAUGAUAUUAUAAAUGGUUCCUUCUCCAAUUGACCGACGGGCCCAGUGAACUAAAUAUGCUUGAUUCGCGUUCAAACUCAUAUCAAAUGCCUUUCUACCACACAACACUUCAAAUAAAACAACCCCAAAUGAGUACACAUCAGAUUUUUCCGUUAGUCCAAAUCCUGCGACGUACUCUGGAUCAACAUAGCCACAAGUACCCUUCACCAUUGAAUCUAUUCUUGUCAAAGUUUUUUGCUUGCAAUUGCUUCGGGGACGAAGCUUCGCCAACCCGAAAUCAGAAAGCUUGCAGACCAACUUAUCAUCCAAAAGAAUAUUGCUACUCUUAACGUCACGGUGAAUUAUUGCUUGCUUUGCUCCAGUGUGAAGGUAACGUAAUCCGCGAGCUGCGCCUAUGCAUAUCUCUAGUCUUUGCUUCCAUGGGAGUGGAUCACAACCAGAAUCAUAGAGAAGAUCUCGUAGUGCUCCGUUUUCCAUGUAUUCAUACACAAGGAUCAUCUCGGCUUUUUCAUUGCAGAACCCUAUAAGAGGUACCACAUGUUGGUGAUGCAGCUGGCAGAGCAACAGCAGUUCAGCUUGGAACUCAUUGAACCCUUGUGCUGAAUCUGGAUACAAGCGUUUGACAGCGAUAACCAAGUUCCAAUCAUUCAAAAACCCUUUGUAUACAUGUCCAAAACCACCACUACCAAUAAUCAAAUCUUGAUCAAAGUUGUUGGUAGCAGCUUUGACCAGUGCCAGUGAAAAUUUAUAGCUUAUUUCUUCUGGAAGAGCCGCUGGAUUUCGUAUCCUAGACCGCUUCUCAUUUCCCUCACUAUAUUCCAACUUUCCAUCCCCUGUUCCUUUUUGGAAGACUUUGUAGAAACGUGAAAGAAAACGUAAAUGAUCCUCCAUGUUGGAAAGCAGAUAAGCAAAGAAGGAGCACACAGGAGUAACUUUGAACUUGAUAUUUUGAGGUGUUAAAUGUUAAUCUUAUUGAGAAACCUUGCUUGACCCUAACCGUUGUUAACUAUGUAUUAUCAGUGAUGUAUUCGGAAAUGUAUCAUUUAUAUUGUUCAAUUUUUAAAAAUUUAAUCUCUACACUGUCAUAUUUUAUUUCUAAAAUAUGAAGUAAAAUAUUGGGGAGUCACAAUCACGUGGUUUUCACUGAAAUCAAAAUAUAGGGGAAGCCACAAUCAACAACAAAAGUCAAGACUCUUCUAGAUAAAACAGUUGCAUAUUUUUAUGUAAUGAAAUUUCUUCAUAAUUAUCUGCUAUCCUUACAAAGUAUUAUGCUAUCUGAAUCUUUGAAGUUAAAAGAAUUAUAGUAGCUAAACUCAUAAUCUAGAAAGCUAUCAAGACCCGAGAAAUUCCUAACAAAGCCACAAAACAAUUCUUCUUCAUACAUACAAGGAUUGAUGCUCUCCAUUUUGGAAUCUGCUCUCUUGCAGCUCCAAGGCAACCUCUAGUGUGACCUCCACCUCACCCAUCGCUGGCCUUUCAUUUCCCUUUCGGUGGACACAACUAGAAGCGAUUUCCAAAUACUUGUUCAAACAUUCUGGAGCUAUUCUGCCCUUGAGAUAUGGAUCAAUGUCAUGAUAAAUGGUUCCUUCCUAUAGGGAAUCCAUGGCCCACUCGAGCAUAUGUUACUCAUUCCGAACACUAGUCCUAUUGAAGGCUUUUUUACCAAAUACAACUUCAAACAAAACGACCCCAAACGAGAAGACGUCAGAUUUUUCUGUCAGUUCUCCAUACAGGGCAUACUCUGGAUCCACAUAUCCGAUUGUUCCCGCCGGACGUGUAUCCAUUCUUAUCAAAGCUUUUGACAUGUGUCUCAGCCGUGUGUGACAAACGACCAGGUGGCACGGCCGUGUGUUCCCUGUAUCUUCUUAAGAAUGCAAGUCAGUAUGCUCACACGACCUAGCACACGGGCGUGUGGCUUGGCCGUGUGACCCAAGUCAGUGAGUUACACGGGUACGGACACGGGCUGGUACAUGGCCGUGUGUUCUGAUUUCGUAUGUCCACAUGGCCUAAAACACGAGUGUGUCUCUUGGCCGUGUGAGUUACACGGCCGUGUGACCCCUACAGCUUUGAAAAAUUUCAAUGUUUUCUGAAAAAAAUUUUGAGUAUCCGAUUUAAUCCCGACUUGUUUCUAAAGCGUAUUUGGGCCUUGAGGGCUUGUAUAAGAGACAAUAUGUUUGAUUUCGAUUGGUUUCUGACAUGAAUAUUAUAUAAUAUGAAAUGUUUGAAAAGUCUGUUUAUUUGAGCUGUAAAAUUCAAUAAUACUCCGUAACCCUGUUCUGACGAUGGAUACGGGUUAGAGGUGUUACAUCUAGUGUUAAUUCAACUUGGGUCUUAUCUGAUGUAUUAUCAAUCUAGACAAUCACAUUAAUGUCUCUAUCUUUUGAGAUUCAAUCACUCUAAUACCUAAGAUAAGGUAUCUCCCUAAUUGAACUUUAUAGACGACAUAAUAGUCAUUUAACCGAUUUUUUCAAUUUCGAUUCAUCAGACUAUAGAGCUUUUAGAUUACCUACUAAUAUAAGUUGCAUUCUCACAUUAUUAUUCGACCACAUAAUACAACUUAGUAUUAGUUAAACAUUAGGUAAUUAAUGAGACAAUAUUUGCUUAAAUUUUGCUUUGCAUGCAAAAACUGUUGAGGAUAAAUACAAACAAUACUAAUGUGAAUAAUGGAAUUUUAUUAAAUCAAUCUGAUUGAAAAAUUACAAGUAGAAAUAAACUACACUUAGAGCACUAGAUCCUAACACUACAUUCCCAUGAGUGGGGAUCAAACCUCGACCAUAUGAUUAAAGGAUGAGAUGAGCAACCACCAUACCUCAACUUAGCAAAUUUUUUAGUCAUAUAUUUAAACAUCUUUUUAAAAUUGUUUAGAAAGAAACAUUUGAUUUUUGCAAGUUGAUAUUUGAGUAGUUAUAUGAGUAAUUAUCAUUGGGGCAACUAACAAUUGAAGAACAAUAAUACAAAAAGAUUGGUUACGCAAUUCAGUUUCCAUCUACGUCUAAGGAGCUUUACCCAAAGAGAUAAUCUACAAUCUUCAACCGCAUACUGGUGAUGAUUUAAGUCAUACUACUCACCAUAGUUAAAAACCUUUAAUAUUUAUAUCAUUCUCUGCUAAAUUUUUCAUGAAAGCUCAAUUGUAAAUUAAAUGACUCACUUAUGUUUUACUUAGAAAAUGCACUCACAAAAGAGUUUCUAAUUGAACAAAAUAAAGUGCUAACUUUGUUACCAACUAAGUCAAGCCUUUAAUGUAUAGUGGUUUAAGGCACGCUAAAAUACUAACUAGUUACCAUACCAAAUCCCACUAAAGUAUCCUAUAAAAUAGGUUACAAUUAUCUUAAUAAUUUUCUUUUAAUUUGAAAUUUGAGUUUUAGGUAAAUUUUUGUGUCAGGUUUAGGAAAAUUUCACUCCCACCCCGCUUUAACAUAUUUAGAAAAGUACUUUUUUUUUAAUUUUAUAAAUAGUUUUUAUAUUUCAAUUAUAAUUUCAUAAUUUUAUAAGAAUUUAUAACCUAUAUUUAAAUUUUGUAAGUAUUAUUUCAUAUAUUUUGUUAUAAUUUCAUAAUUUUAUAAUAUAUUUGGUUUAAUUUUAUAAAAAUUAGCAUCCUAUAAAACAUUAUUUAAAAUUUCAGAGCGAAAUCAAUGAAGUUAUAGUGUGAUCAGAUUAGCGACAAAAUUUUUAAAUAAAAUCAAAUUCAAAAUGAGAUGUAUAAAAAUUAGAUCAGAACUAAGGUGGGCAAAAAAUGGUCUUGACUGUUCAAUUGCGAUCCCUCGACAAAACUAAUUAUUUCAAAAGUACUUUGCAUUGUAAUGGUGUUUCUUUCCCAGAUUUGUCAUUUAGGUUAUCUAUUUCUCUUUCUUAUAUGUUAAAACUUCUCUUGAUUUGAGUGCUUGUUGGUGUUGCAUCAACUAUUGGAUAAGGUCCUUAUUUGUCAUAGGUGGUAUGCUGGUCAUGUAUUAAGCACAUACUAAGGCAAUAUAUCAGAUUCCUAUGAUACUUGGAUAGAGAAUUGAAAGCAUUUAAUCUUGCAUGUCAACCUCAUCAGAGCAGUAUGCUUCUAUUACCUGGAGUGGCCCUUUUGACAGCAUGGGUCUCCUCAUCCUCACAAUAGGGAUUGGACUUUGAGCUACUCAAAUUUUGGGAUUCUAAAUUUUUCUGCUUUGCCUGCAGUGGCCUAAUAAAGACAUCAAGUAAGUUUGCAAUCUAUGAUUUCAAUUAAGCAAAGCAAGAACUGCAAAAUGCGACCAAGAGAAGGAAUGGUUUUGAACAAAUAACUUUGACAACUCAACAUACAACCAAACUCGGCAAAGAUUGCUCUUUAGUUGACUAUUACUAGACAUCUACAAAAGAAUAUUAAUCCCAUCCAAACAAUUUAUCGAACAUCUACCCUGCAAAAGGAAAAAUCCGAAUCCAUAAUCCGCGAUAGUAUACCUGAUUCAGAAAUCUAAAUCUAGUUAUCUGCAAAAGGAAAUUGAAUUCUAUAAAUCUGAAUCCAUAAAAAUAAACAAAUAAAAUAUCCACAUGUAUUUGAAUUUGCACGAUUCAUCGUCCAUAUCUCACAAUUUAACGAACAAGUUAUAGCAAAGAAGCUAAUUAAUGUCGGAGUGUUAAGAUUUACAGAGCAAGGUGACCUUAUUUUCAUUUAACUGGGAAAAGAAAUAUAGAAUAAGAAAAAGGAUGGGGGAAUGUCCUAAGAGUGCUAAGAGUAGUCCCAUCUGAGAAAGGAUUGACCAGGACAUCACUUUAAACAUAUAUAAUUCUGAAAGUUGAACGCCAUAACUACUUGAAACCAAUCUAGGCCUCAGGACAGCAUAUAUAGUAAUCACUAAUUGCUUGUUUUCUGCCAAAUUUCCCAUGUAGGACCAGCCAGCUUCAUUGCAAUGAUUAGGGGGAGCAGAAUUCUGAUUGUGGAAUACAUAUCUUUAUUGAAGGAUGAACAAAUGACACCCACCUUUAAUUGAACAAGUAAAGAAUUAGAGUUUCAGUAAUAGAUUUCUCAUUGUUUAUCCCUGAUUCAAUAUCGUUGCUAGUUGUAUCACUUCAGAGUCUAGAAACGAAUCCGAAAUCGUGCUAUCUACAUCAGAACAGCUAUCGAAUUCCUGUUCCACUACGUUUCCACCAUAAGCAGGAAUAUCGUUCCUGACAAAUAGACAAGGUAGCAGUUCUUCAUACUCGUAUUCACCUUGAUGAUCGGCGCUCUCCUUCUCCGAAUCAGCUACUUUCUGAAGCUCCAAUGCGGCCUCUAGUGCCAUCUCUACUUCCCCCAUCUCAGGUCGUCCCUUACCAGUCUGGCAAACACAACAAUAGGCAAUCUCCACAAAUUUCUCGAAACAUUGAGGGGCUAUUUUCUUCUUCAAAUAAGGAUCAAUGAUGUCAUAGAUAGUCCCGUUUUCGAUACAUUUACAAGCCCAAGAAGUUAAACUUUUUUUAAUCCCUUCCAAUGUUAGAUCAAUUGCCUUCCUUCCGCAUAACACCUCAAACAAAACAAUCCCAAAAAGCGUAAACAUCAGUUUUUCUGGUCAUACGGCCAGUUAUAUAACACUCUGGAUCCAUAUGAACGACGGUAACUGGUAUUUUGAUGUUCAAAGAGCCAGUAGGAGAACCAGCUUGGCUCAUCUUUGACAGGCUAAGAUCGGAAAGCUUAGGAUUCCAUUCGUCAUCCAAUAGAAUGUUUCGGCUCCUGAUGUUACGAUGGAUUAUCGAAUGCUUUGCUCCUGAACGAAGGUAAUGCAACCCACGGGCUGCACCACUGCAUAUCGUUAGCCUCUGCUUCCAGGAGAGUGGAUCAUUAGAACGAUUACCAUAAAGAUGUUUAUCAAGUGAACCAUUGCUUAUAUAUUCAUAAACCAGAAGCUUUUCAUCUUCUUCGUCGCAGAAUCCGAUGAAAGAGACAAGAUUCGGGUGUCGUAGCUGACACAGUAACUGCACCUCGGUUCGGAAUUCACGACCUCCUCGCAGUCCAAAUGGCCCAAAGCGCUCAAUAGUAACUGCCAUAGUCCCAUCAUCAAUGAUUCCUUUGUAUAGAUCUCCAAAACCACCACGACCAAGGAGAAAGUCUUCACGGAAGCUGUUGAUAGCAGCUUUAAUCUCCUCAAGUGAGAAUUGUCGGCAUAGUCCCUCUGGGAAUGCUGAAAAUUGCUUCCCUGGAGACCUUCCUUUUCCCCUGCUUUUAUCCGACUUUGCAUUGUUAGGCGAUUUAUUAAUAAUGUGGAAGAAAAGUAGAAGGGAUUUUAAAGGGUUUUUCAUUGCAAGAAAUGAAGGAAGCAAGUUUGGAUUUGAUUGAAUGUUACAAUUUCUUCUGAUUAGCUUACAUUGUUCGUUUCAAAUGUGAAUUGCAUUUUGGGAUUGAGCAUUACUUUGCAACUUUCUAGAAGUGCCAUAUUGGGUCAAAGGAUU